CCUACGGGUGGCUGCAGUGGGGAAUAUUGCGCAAUGGGGGAAACCCUGACGCAGCAACGCCGCGUGAGUGAUGAAGGUCUUCGGAUUGUAAAGCUCUGUCUUUGGGGACGAUAAUGACGGUACCCAAGGAGGAAGCCACGGCUAACUACGUGCCAGCAGCCGCGGUAAUACGUAGGUGGCAAGCGUUGUCCGGAUUUACUGGGCGUAAAGAGUAUGUAGGCGGAUAUUUAAGUCAGAUGUGAAAUUCCCGGGCUUAACCUGGGCGCUGCAUUUGAAACUGGGUAUCUAGAGUGCGGGAGAGGAAAGUGGAAUUCCUAGUGUAGCGGUGAAAUGCGUAGAGAUUAGGAAGAACACCAGUGGCGAAGGCGACUUUCUGGACCGUAACUGACGCUGAGAUACGAAAGCGUGGGGAGCAAACAGGAUUAGAUACCCCAGUAGUC
rnacentral:rRNA from 1 species